rnacentral:rRNA from 1 species
UACGGAGGGGGCUAGCGUUGCUCGGAAUCACUGGGCGUAAAGGGUGCGUAGGCGGGUCUUUAAGUCAGGGGUGAAAUCCUGGAGCUCAACUCCAGAACUGCCUUUGAUACUGAAGAUCUUGAGUCCGGGAGAGGUGAGUGGAACUGCGAGUGUAGAGGUGAAAUUCGUAGAUAUUCGCAAGAACACCAGUGGCGAAGGCGGCUCACUGGCCCGGUACUGACGCUGAGGUGCGAAAGCGUGGGGAGCAAACAGG